rnacentral:rRNA from 1 species
UACAGAGGGUGCAAGCGUUGUUCGGAAUUAUUGGGCGUAAAGGGCUCGUAGGCGGUUUGUCGCGUCGGGAGUGAAAAUCCAGGGCUUAACUCUGGACUGGCUUCCGAUACGGGCAGACUAGAGGUAUGCAGGGGAGAACGGAAUUCCUGGUGUAGCGGUGAAAUGCGCAGAUAUCAGGAGGAACACCGGUGGCGAAGGCGGUUCUCUGGGCAUUACCUGACGCUGAGGAGCGAAAGUGUGGGGAGCGAACAGG